rnacentral:rRNA from 1 species
CCCUACGGGAGGCAGCAGUGAGGAAUAUUGGUCAAUGGGCGCGAGCCUGAACCAGCCAAGUAGCGUGAAGGAUGACUGCCCUACGGGUUGUAAACUUCUUUUAUAAAGGAAUAAAGUGUGGCACGUGUGCCUUUUUGUAUGUACUUUAUGAAUAAGGAUCGGCUAACUCCGUGCCAGCAGCCGCGGUAAUACGGAGGAUGCGAGCGUUAUCCGGAUUUAUCGAGUUUAAAGGGUGCGUAGGCGGGCUUUUAAGUCAGCGGUAAAAAUUCGGGGCUCAACCCCGUCCGGCCGUUGAAACUGGGGGC